CAGCUAUAAUUUACUUGAUCUUGACACAAUCCUACUUGGAUAACUGUGGUAAUUCUAGAGCUAAUACAUGCAUUAAAGCUCUGACCUCACGGGAAGAGUGCAUUUAUUAGAACAAAACCAAGCGGCUUCGGCUGUUUCUGGUUGACUCAUAGUAACUGAGCUGAUCGCAUGGUCUUGCACCGGCGACGUGUCUUUCAAGUAUCUGCCGUAUCAACUUUCGAUGGUAGUGUAUCUGACUACCAUGGUGAUCACGCGUAACGGAGAAUAAGGGUUCGGCUCCGGAGAGUUCGCCUGAGAAAUCGCGAACACAUCUAAGGAAGGCAGCAGGCGCGAAAAUUACCCACUCUCAGCACGAGGAGGUAGUGACGAAAAAUAACGAGACCGUUCUCUUAUGAGGCCGGUCAUCGGAAUGGGUACAAUUUAAACCCUUUAACGAGUAUCUAUGAGAGGGCAAGUCUGGUGCCAGCAGCCGCGGUAAUUCCAGCU
rnacentral:rRNA from 1 species